UAGUUGUGCAUGUGUCUACACUUAAAUUUGUCUCCUACCUAGGUAAGCACGCUGUUACAGUAAUGCAGUAACACCAUCUCGCCAAGUGGCAUUGGGUCAUGGUCAGUGUACUGAGGUCAACGCAGUACAAGUGUAGAUACCGCAUUUCCUAUGUUAACCCUAACAGACUUCCUGCAGCUGUCUCACAGUGCCUGAAACCAACCACUCUGGUCAAAAUUGUGAAUUCCACUGUCCAGGGUCAAAGAGACCACACACACACAGACACAGACACCCUGUUAAAGCACUGCAGAUCUUUUUAAAUGCAUUUUCCGGAUUGUCUAAUUUGGCGAGCACACCUAGCAGCUCUCCAGUGUUGUGUGCAACUCUCCAGCUGACCAUGCCAGCUACACGCUCCAAAUGCAUUCUGGCUUGGAAUAAACCGAAGGUAUUGGCUUUCCUGGGCCUGUGGGGAGAAGAGGACAUCUACGAACAGAUUGCAUGGGGGAUGCAGGAGAAGGGAUAUGAGAGCGAGCAGCAGCAAUGCUAUAUGAAAGCAAAGGAACUGCAACAGGCAUAUCAGAAGGCCAGAGACGCCAACAGUUGGUCCAGCCUGAGCUGCAGACCUGCAGCUUUUACAAAAUGCUGCAUGCCUACUUGGCAGAGACCCCACCGCCACUCUGCAGACCACCAUGGAUACCUCCAAGAAGCCCAAGUCACAGGCCCCUAGUUUGAACAGCGAAGAGGAGGAGGAGGAUGGGGGACAUAUGACUGAUGGGUCCGGCUGCACUGCGAGCCAGGACCUGUUUGAGACUCCACUGCAAUCCAGUCAGUCCUGGCAGUAGAGCAUGGACAAGCCCAGUGCAGGGGGAAGGAACCUCAGGUAGCUGUUGCUGUUGUGGCUGUGAGAGAUUGCUCUUCCACACCUGCCAAAUGCUGAGCCAGAUAAAGAGGAGAAAGAAGAGAACUCAGGCUGACAUGUCCAGCAAGAUCAUGUAAGCCAGUGCUGCAUCAGACCGAGAUCAGAGGGCCUGGAGGGUGAAUAUUGCAGACUGUAUGGAGAAGGACAGAGCAGACAGAAGAAAGGUGCAGAAAAAGGAGAGGAAAAUGCACCAGGACAAAAUGGAGCAUCUCUGGCAGCACACACAGAUUUUGCAGACCCUUGUGGACCUAAAGGUUCAACAGUCAUGGGCUUGCUUCCCUUUGCAGUCCAUGGAGAACUCCAUUACAGCACUUCCCUACAUCCCCUUCAACAUUCCACAUGGCAUUAAGGGCCCAUAUCCCUACUCUGACCACUCCAUGCCAGGGGACAUUAAAAACAGCUACACUUCCACAUGCACUGACCUGUGAAAGCCAUGGUUGCUGUAUGUGUAGCUAAAAUGGAUGUGAUUGUUCCUUCCUUGUAAAGUUCUGUUCCAUAAAUUUAUUCAGUUUUUAAUGUUUUUGCUUUUAAAUUGCACAGAGUUUUCUUUGCAUUGGUUUUGUACUCAAUAAAAUUCUUUUGGGAAAAUAA